rnacentral:rRNA from 1 species
AACGUAGGAGACGAACGUUAUCCGGAGUUACUGGGCGUAAAGGGCGUGCAGGCGGCCUGAUAAGUUCGGCGUGAAAUUUCCCGGCUUAACCGGGGGAUGUCGUCGGAGACUGUCGGGCUAGAGGGUGAUAGAGGCGUGUGGAAUUCCGGGUGUAGUGGUGAAAUGCGUAGAGAUCCGGAGGAACACCAGUGGCGAAGGCGACACGCUGGGUCAUACCUGACGCUAAAACGCGACAGCAUGGGGAGCGAACGGG